GAGAGACUUAGGUAGACGUGUGGCUUAGUUAUAUUUGGGCCUAACACUUUUUUUAUGGGAAUAAGAAUAUCUUGUUAGUAUGACAAGCAGUUUCUCUUUUUGACAAACUGAUCUCAGAAACCAGAUCUAUUAUACCCACCUGAAUAUAUCAGGACCAUUCUUAUUAAGAUACUACGUUACCUCGGUUAUUGC
rnacentral:other from 2 species